CCCCACAUUCAGAAGGGAUUGCGGACCGCCUGUGUCUCGCUCAUUGGUAGUGCGGGUAGAGGAAACAUGGAUGGGUUGUCCCAUGUUUGGGGGAGUCCACAUCCUCGCCUCCCGGUUCUGGAGCUUUCCCACA